rnacentral:rRNA from 1 species
CGCGUGGGGGAGGGUCUCGGGGUGUAAACCUCUUUUCUAGGGAAGAACACAAUGACGGUACCUGAGGAAUAAGCAUCGGCUAACUCCGUGCCAGCAGCCGCGGUAAUACGGAGGAUGCAAGCGUUAUCCGGAAUGAUUGGGCGUAAAGCGUCCGCAGGUGGCUGUGUAAGUCUGCUGUUAAAGAGUCUAGCUCAACUAGAUAAGAGCAGUGGAAACUACACGGCUAGAGUACGUUCGGGGCAGAGGGAAUUCCUGGUGUAGCGGUGAAAUGCGUAGAGAUCAGGAAGAACACCGGUGGCGAAGGCGCUCUGCUAGGCCGUAACUGACACUGAGGGACGAAAGCUAGGGGAGCGAAUGGGAUUAGUACCCAUUAG